rnacentral:rRNA from 1 species
UACAGAGGGUGCGAGCGUUGUCCGGAAUCAUUGGGCGUAAAGAGCGUGUAGGCGGUUCGGUAAGUCGGCUGUGAAAGUCCAGGGCUCAACCCUGGGAUGCCGGUCGAUACUGCCGGACUAGAGUUCGGAAGAGGCGAGUGGAAUUCCCGGUGUAGCGGUGAAAUGCGCAGACAUCGGGAGGAACACCUAUGGCGAAGGCAGCUCGCUGGGACGUUACUGACGCUGAGACGCGAAAGCGUGGGGAGCAAACAGG